AUGCGAAAAGUAGUGUGAAUUGCAGAAUUCAGUGAAUCAUCGAAUCUUUGAACGCACAUUGCGCCCCUUGGUAUUCCAUGGGGCAUGCCUGUUCGAGCGUCAUUUUGUACCCUCAAGCACUGCUUGGUGUUGGGCGUUUGUCCUGCAAAGGACUCGCCUGAAAGCGAUUGGCGGCCAACGUACUGGUGGUAGAGCGCAGCACAAUUUGCGUCUCUCCCUGCUACGUUGGCGUCCAUGAAGCCCAUUUUCAACGUUUGACCUCGGAUCAGGUAGGGAUACCCGCUGAACUUAA
rnacentral:misc_RNA from 1 species